rfam:Agarivorans albus MKT 106 DNA, contig: contig00001.
CGUAUGGUGUUUGGUGUCAAUUGUGGCGACCAGAUGGCGAUACGGCCCAAGUAUUGAGGU